ensembl:antisense Junos jun proto-oncogene, opposite strand
UGUGAGAAGAGGCCUAACUUGGAAUUUACUAGUUGUGCAGCCACAGGUCGUUCCUUGUGUUCUCUGUUUUAUAUCUCACAUGGAGAAAGAACAGUGCUCUGACUUAGGCAGAGCAAGCACUCUGAGAAGCCUCACUCACAGAGGAGGAAACUGAGGUCCAAGAUGGAUUCUCUGUAUCUGUGAUUCCAUGGCCCAACUGUCCAGAAGCAGAACACCCUCAACUCCAAAGCCAAGGCCCUACAGGAAGCCAGGACGAGCUCAGUGAGAGCAAGCGACUUUCCCAACAUUAUGGAGAGAGGAGAUGCUGUUACUGGUACCGUCCUGGACCAAGCUUGUCCAUACGAGGAUUUCAUUACCAUUCUAAAAGUGUUAUCGGACUUCGCUGCCUCCUUCUUCACCAACCUAUGAUCGAUCAGCCUAAUAAAUGGAGCAGAGCAUGAAGAAGGCAUAAACAACAGGGCCCAUAGGAUUUAAGUGAUUCACUGGAGGCUGCGAGCCAGAAAGUGGCAGAGUGACGUUCGGUCUAGUUCUCCGGAGUGCAGCUUCCUGGUCCCUGCUC